UGAGGCAGCUGAUGUACUGGCUAAACAAGCACUUAGUAGUGGGGAUGUUGAUGUUGUAGUUUCAAUGAGCAAAGCAGAGGCAAAAAGCCUGAUGUGGACAGUGAUAGUGCAGAGAUGGCGGGAGCAGUGGAAUAGAGAUACUAAGGGCAGCCAUUUAUUUCAAGUACAGAGGAAAGUUGGGGAGGGGAGGACGGCAGGAAGAGACAGAAGAGAUGAGGCUAUUUUCUAUACAAGAUUAAGGGUGGGACACAGUAGGUUGAAUAAGACUUUAAAUGUGAUAGGAAAGCAUCUAACAGGAAAGUGUGAUUAUUGCCAGGAAACAGAGACAGUGGAGCAUGUACUGAUACUGUGUGGGCAGUGUGAGAGGAAAGAGAAAGGCUGAGAUACAAUAUGAGGGAGAAGGGGAUACCAGAAAUGAGUUUAAAGAGUAUACUGAGUAUUACGUCAUGAGAUACAGUCUAAAAUAUUUUGUUAUCUUUUUAGAAACGAGUCUGGCAGGUAGGGUUGAGUUUCUCCCUGUCGCUGGCCCACACUCCAGUAUAGUAGGUGGCGGUAAUGCACCAUAACAUUGACGGCCAACUGCCGAUGAACCCCACCGAAGAAGACGUCUUUUCUUUCAGUUGGACAAGAAAACAUCGUACAGAUACAAACGGUGUAGUAGAUUAAAGUAUAUAUUUGCAUAUUUCAAUACAUGUAUAAGCUUCAUGAGCGACAAUAACAUACUACGCGUGAAAUGGAGUCUGCUUACAGUCGGUUCGAUUCAUAUGACUUCGAGGUGGAUCCGAAUUUCCAGAAUGGUUUGAAAAAUCUUCAAGCUUCCAGCGAGGAAACUGUUUUGGGGAUUAAAUUAUUAUUUUACAAUCGAUUUGUCGAGCCCAUUGACUUGGAUGGGUACAAACAAUGGCGUGUCAGUUCUACUGCCCUGUCCUCGACAUCCUCCAUGGGUGACAACAUUGAACAGUUGAAGAAGUUCGACCACUUGACUAUUGCAGAUUCAAAUUCUGAUAUUUGUGAAAGUACCACUGGUGGGACCUCAGCGAACACAGAUGCAGCCCUUUCAUUCGAGGAAGUGUUCCGGCUAGUCCAAGCAGGAGAGGAGGUCCCAGGCCUCUCAAAGCUGGACGUAAAACCUAAUAACCAAACUCCAACUCCCUCGCAGAUGGAGAGGAGGCCAAAACCCUGGGAGAACUCUAAGACACACAUGUGACUUGUACACAUUACCUUUUCCCUCACUGUCCACUUUUGAAGAAAAGUUCAUUUUGACCAGCUGUUAAUAUCCUCUAAACUUGCAAUAAAAACGUUAAUUUUU